GCGCUGUCCAAAGACAGAAGUGUGUUCGUCUACGGGUUUGUAUGUGUGUUCCUCCAGAGAUGGAGGGCUGAGCCUAGUCUUUGUGCAACAAGGUUGUUUAACUUUGGUAACCUAGCCUCAAGAUUCUUUUCUGAGUUCAGGCCCAAGGGGAAAACAUGAGGUCAGGGGGACCGUGGGAUGAAGAAAAAGAAAAAAAAUUAAGAUUCAAGAUGAGAAUCCUGUCUGGGCUUCUUUGUCGUAGCCAACAAGUGGGAUGUGGAGACACAAGAGCACAGGUCUGUCCCAGGGCGUGGUUCGUACCUUGUCUUAACAGCUGUGCCUCCAGUUGACCUCCAUCCAGCAAGGGUUUAUACCCGGAUAAGAUCGUGGAUGCCUUUCUCUGCCCAACAGACUACAGAGCUCUCCAUCACUAUGAAAACUAGCAAGUGGGGAGGAAGCUUCGUGGUCAAUACCAACUUGAUUUCUCCAUGUCCUGUGACCAGUGGAUGUGGUGUCUUCAGCAACAGGGUUUUACUAGCAAGUUCUGGCUGGUGGCCGAGAGCAGUAGUA